AUUGAACGCUGGCGGCAAGCCUAACACAUGCAAGUCGAACGAGUGGCGGACGGGUGAGUAAUGUCUGGGAAACUGCCUGAUGGAGGGGGAUAACUCCUGGAAACGGUAGCUAAUACCGCAUACCAUCGGAUGUGCCCAGAUGGGAUUAGCUAGUAGGUGGGGUAAAGGCUCACCUAGGCGACGAUCCCUAGCUGGUCUGAGAGGAUGCCCAGCCACACUGGAACCAAGACACGUUCCCGACUCCGACGGGAGGCACCAGUGGGGAAUAUUGCACAAUGGGCGCAAGCCUGAUGCAGCCAUGCCGCGUGCAUGAAGAAGGCCUUCGGGUUGUCAAGUACUGUCAGCGGGGAGGCGUUACCCGCAGAAGAAGCACCGGCUAACUCCGUGCCAGCAGCCGCGGUAAUAC
rnacentral:rRNA from 1 species